GACGAACGCUGGCGGCGUGCCUAAUACAUGCAAGUCGAACGAGAGCGCCCGGUGCUUGCACUGGUCAAUCUAGUGGCGAACGGGUGAGUAACACGUGGGUAACCUGCUCAUCAGAGGGGGAUAACAUCCGGAAACGGAUGCUAAAACCGCAUAGGUCUUCGAGCCGCAUGGCUUGAAGAGGAAAAGAGGCGCAAGCUUCUGCUGAUGGAUGGACCCGCGUUGCAUUAGCUAGUUGGUGAGGCAACGGCUCACCAAGGCCGUGAUGCAUAGCCGACCUGAGAGGGUGAUCGGCCACAUUGGGACUGAGACACGGCCCAAACUCCUACGGGAGGCAGCAGUAGGGAAUCUUCCGCAAUGGGCGCAAGUCUGACGGAGCAACGCCGCGUGAGUGAAGAAGGUUUUCGGAUCGUAAAACCCUGUUGUUAGAGAAGAACAAGUGCUAGAGUAACUGUUAGCGCCUUGACGGUAUCUAACGAGAAAGCCACGGCUAACUACGUG
rnacentral:rRNA from 1 species